rnacentral:rRNA from 1 species
GCCCUUAGAGUUUGAUCCUGGCUCAGGACGAACGCUGGCGGCGUGCCUAAUACAUGCAAGUCGAGCGGACCGAACGGAAGCUUGCUUCUGUUCGGUUAGCGGCGGACGGGUGAGUAACACGUGGGUAACCUGCCCGUAAGACCGGGAUAACUCCGGGAAACCGGGGCUAAUACCGGAUAACACCGAAGACCGCAUGGUCUUCGGUUGAAAGGUGGCUUUUGCUACCACUUACGGAUGGGCCCGCGGCGCAUUAGCUAGUUGGUGAGGUAACGGCUCACCAAGGCGACGAUGCGUAGCCGGCCUGAGAGGGUGACCGGCCACACUGGGACUGAGACACGGCCCAGACUCCUACGGGAGGCAGCAGUAGGGAAUCUUCCGCAAUGGACGAAAGUCUGACGGAGCGACGCCGCGUGAGCGAAGAAGGUCUUCGGAUCGUAAAGCUCUGUUGUUAGGGAAGAAGAAGUACCGUUCGAAUAGGGCGGUACGGUGACGGUACCUAACGAGAAAGCCCCGGCUAACUACGUGCCAGCAGCCGCGGUAAUACGUAGGGGGCGAGCGUUGUCCGGAAUUAUUGGGCGUAAAGCGCGCGCACGCGGUCCCUUAAGUCUGAUGUGAAAGCCCACGGCUCAACCGUGGAGGGUCAUUGGAAACUGGGGGACUUGAGUGCAGAAGAGAGAGCGGAAUUCCACGUGUAGCGGUGAAAUGCGUAGAGAUGUGGAGGAACACCAGUGGCGAAGSGGCUCUCUGGUCU